rnacentral:rRNA from 1 species
UACGUAGGGGCAAGCGUUGUCCGGAUUUAUUGGGCGUAAAGAGCGUGUAGGCGGCCAGACAGGUCAGCUGUGAAAACUCGAGGCUCAACCUCGAGACGUCGGUUGAAACCGUCUGGCUAGAGUCCGGAAGAGGAGAGUGGAAUUCCCGGUGUAGCGGUGAAAUGCGCAGAUAUCGGGAAGAACACCCGUGGCGAAGGCGGCUCUCUGGGACGGUACUGACGCUGAGACGCGAAAGCGUGGGGAGCGAACAGG